rnacentral:rRNA from 1 species
CCUACGGGUGGCAGCAGUGGGGAAUUUUGGACAAUGGGCGCAAGCCUGAUCCAGCUAUUCCGCGUGUGGGAAGACGGCCCUCGGGUUGUAAACCACUUUUGUAGAGAACGAAAAGACUACUGCGAAUAACGGUUGUUGCUGACGGUACUCUAAGAAUAAGCACCGGCUAACUACGUGCCAGCAGCCGCGGUAAUACGUAGGGUGCGAGCGUUAAUCGGAAUUACUGGGCGUAAAGGGUGAGCAGGCGGUUUUGGAAGAUAGAUGUGAAAUCCCCGGGCUUAACACGGGAAUGGCAUAUGGGACUGCUCGACUAGGUGGUGUCAGAGGGGGGUGGAAUUCCACGUGUAGCAGUGAAAUGCGUAGAUAUGUGGAAGAACACCGAUGGCGAAGGCAGCCUCCUGGGACAUAACUGACGCUCAGGCACGAAAGCGUGGGGAGCAAACAGGAUUAGAUACCCCUGUAGUC